CAUAAGUGCAGCCAGAUGGUCAGCGUGGCGCCUCUCUCCACUCCAGCCACUUCAGACACUACUGUUGCCUUUUUGAAGAAGGUCAUGGAUACAGGAGUGACAUUGUGUCAUGUCCCACCUGAGCUGGAGAGAGGAGAUGGAAGAAGAGUCAAGGCUGUGGCCUUUCAACACAGAGUUCCACCUGCUGUACUUGGCUCCUGUUUGUCCUCCAAACCCACCUAACUCCCUAUGGGACUGAUUGCUAUGCCCAAAUUCUGG
rnacentral:lncRNA from 1 species